CCUACGGGCGACUGCAGUGAGGAAUAUUGGUCAAUGGGCGCGAGCCUGAACCAGCCAAGUAGCGUGAAGGAUGACUGCCCUACGGGUUGUAAACUUCUUUUAUAAAGGAAUAAAGUGAGGAACGCGUGCCUGUUUGUAUGUACUUUAUGAAUAAGGAUCGGCUAACUCCGUGCCAGCAGCCGCGGUAAUACGGAGGAUCCGAGCGUUAUCCGGAUUUAUUGGGUUUAAAGGGAACGUAGAUGGGUUGUUAAGUCAGUUGUGAAAGUUUGCGGCUCAACCGUAAAAUGGCGAUUGAUACUGGCAGCCUUGAGUACAGUUGAGGUUGGCGAACUUCGUGGUGUAGCGGUGAAGUGCU
rnacentral:rRNA from 1 species